GGAUGCCUUGGCAUGAAGGGCCGAAGAAGGACGUUGCAGCCUGCGAUAUGCCUCGGGGAGUUGGCAAGCGAGUGUUGAUCCGAGGAUGUCCGAAUGGGGGAACCUGGCCAGAGUUAUGUCUGGUCGCCUGCGUGUGAAUUCAUAGUGCGUGGGUGGGAACGCUGGGAAGUGAAACAUCUUAGUACCAGCAGGAAAAGAUAUUCCGUGAGUAGUGGCGAGCGAAAGUGGAAGAGCCUAAACCGUGUGCGUGUGAUAGCCGUCGGGUGUUGCGUGUGCGGUGUUGUGGGGUCGAUCAUCACUCUUCCGACGAGGGGUGGCGCAGUGAUAAAUCAUGGGGAUAGUCGAACAAUCUGGGAAGGUUGACUAGAGAGGGUGAGAGUCCCGUAGGUGUAAUUCUUGUGACUGUGGAUCGUGUCCCCGAGUAGCACGGGGCUCGUGGAAUCUCGUGUGAAUCUGCCAAGACCACUUGGUAAGGCUAAAUACCCUUUGUGACCGAUAGCGGAUAGUACCG
rnacentral:rRNA from 1 species